UUAACUAUUAUAUAGUACUCAGACGACACUAAUGUUCAGGGUUUUGGGUCCUCUGGCGGGCGCGCACCAGCAGCUGGGCAGCCGGUGGGGACGGGGCCUCGUCCCGCCAAAGCAACAUGGUUGUAAUAACACAGGGUGGGAGAUCUACCCGUAAGGGCAUGAACUCUGUAAUGAUCCCUCCGCAGGUUCACCUACGGAGA
rnacentral:misc_RNA from 1 species